rnacentral:rRNA from 1 species
UACGAAGGGGGCUAGCGUUGCUCGGAAUCACUGGGCGUAAAGGGCGCGUAGGCGGCGUUUUAAGUUGGGGGUGAAAGCCUGUGGCUCAACCACAGAAUGGCCUUCGAUACUGGGACGCUUGAGUAUGGUAGAGGUUGGUGGAACUGCGAGUGUAGAGGUGAAAUUCGUAGAUAUUCGCAAGAACACCAGUGGCGAAGGCGGCCCGCUGGGCAGUGGCUGACGCUGAAGCGCGACAGCGUGGGGAGCAAACAGG